UACAGAGGUCUCAAGCGUUGUUCGGAAUCACUGGGCGUAAAGGGUGCGUAGGCGGCGUGGAAAGUCAGAUGUGAAAUCCGGAGGCUCAACCUUCGAAUAGCAUCCGAUACUACCGUGCUCGAGAGCUGUAGGGGGGGUUUGGAAUUUCUCGGUGUAGCAGUGAAAUGCGUAGAUAUCGAGAAGAACGCUCGUGGCGAAAGCGAAACCCUGGGCAGCAUCUGACGCUGAGGCACGAAGGCUAGGGGAGCAAACGGG
rnacentral:rRNA from 1 species